rnacentral:rRNA from 1 species
UAGUAUCAGCGUGCCAGCCGCCGCGGUAAUACGUAGGUGGCAAGCGUUGUCCGGAUUUUACUGGGCGUAAAGCGUAUGCAGGCGGAUUGUUAAGUAGGAAGUGAAAGGUUGGAGCUCAGCUCUAACACUGCUCCCUAUACUGGCAGUCUUGAGUGGCGGAGAGGAAGAUGGAACGACACGUGUAGCGGUGAAAUGACGUUGAUAUGUGUCGGAACNCCAAUGGGCGAAAGCAAAUCUUCUGGACGCAAAACUGACGCUGAGAUACGAAAGCCAAGGUAGCAAACAGGAUUAGAUACCCUGGUAGUCUU